AUGGGCCGGGGAUGUAGCUCAAUGGUGUUGUCCCUGCCUGGCAAGCUCAAUGUCCUGAAUUUGAUCCCCAGUAUUGCCAAAAAAAAAAAAAAAAAAAAUCAGAUUCCUUUUUUUAAUAAAGUAGGAGUGAUGGUGGCUCUUAAUGAAAAGGAAAGUUUGUACUUCUUUCUAAUCAGGUAUGUAAUGGUUUGUAUUUGGAAAAAAAAGGUUUGCAUUUGGAAUCUAGACAAUAACCAUGGGAACAUAUGUACUUGCAACAAUUUGAGAAGUAGAAUGACACUGCUGCCUCAAGAGCUUUUAAAUAGGAGAGAAGGAGUUUGUAAUGAGACUCUUUGGAGCUUUCAGCUUAAAUUUUAUGAAUGCUUGAAGAUGUUCAACUUGACCAUUCUCAAAUCAACCAGUAUCUUCAAAACCAAGAGGUUGUCUCACCCAAUGGUAAUCCAAGACAAUACGAGCAAAGUAAUUUCUAGUUCUCCAAGCCGUGUGCCUUUUCAAUUUGUUUGGUGGGGAGACUGAACCCAGGACCUCAAUGUGCUAGGUAAGUACUCUACCACUAAGAUAUACAUCCUCAGUCCCCAAGUGUUUUUCUUUUUGUUUUUUUCUUUUUAAGCAAAGAUAUAAGGUCUGGGGUUGGGGAUGCUAUCUUAGUCAUAGAGAGCUGGCAUCAUGCUCAAGGUCCUGAGUUCCAUUCCCAGCACAUACAAACAUAUACAUACAUACAUACAUACAUAAAUGCAAGCUUGAAUCACCCCAGUCCCAAGGCCUCUUGUAGGUCUUCAUAUAUCUUCUUGGUCUUUUUUGUUUUGUUUUUUAAUUUGUUUUUGUUUUUUUGAGACAGGGUAUUGCUACAUACCUCAGACUGGCCUUGAACUCAUUAAGUAGUCUAAGCUGGCUUCAAACUCAUGACAAUGUCCUGCCUCAGCCUCCUGAGUACUGAGAUUACAGGCAUGUGCCACCACACCUGCCUAUCUUCUUUUAACCACAGCCAUUCCAUAUCAGUGGAAAUUAAUCAGGAAUACCAUUCUCCUAUCAAUCCUUCCAACUUAGGUGGGCUACAUACAAGUCUUUCUUCACUCUGAAAUUUAAUGUCAGCUUCUAUUGUAUUUAUUUUCUUCCAGUAUUUUCAGAAGGAACUGCCAUAGCCAGUAAUGUGUUAUAUACACAAUAGUGUACAUAAAAACAUGAGUUUCUAAACUAUUCUAAAUCAUAGAAAUCCUAGGAUUUCCAGAUACUUAAGAACUCUGUACUAAAGAUAAUUUGUUACCAAAAAGGCUAAUUUAUCCCAACAGCCCCACAAUUUCCAGAAGAUCAAAGAGUUCAAAUAAUUGUAAUUUCACCAUAUUUCAGUUUCUGCCAGUAGCUGUAUAUACUUGUUCUAGAAUAUCUCCAUACAAAUUAAUCCCAUAAUGAUCCCCAAUCUCACAGAAAGGAGUAUUUACAAUACUGAAAUAUAUCACACACUAAAGGACUUGUCCUCUCUAUUACUUGAGAAAUAAAGAUGGUAUAUAAGGGGGAAAAAACCCAAACAUAAAAACUCAGAGGGCUAUUAAAUACAAUUAGAGCCUGUUAGGAAAGUUUGUUAGAUUACAGUAAGAAUCUUCCUCUAUUAAAGCCACUUAAAUUUUAAAAAGCACCAAAUAUAAGUGGUGCUGGGGGGUGGGUGGGAAAAAAGAAUAGGCAUGAUACGUACAGGUGAAAAUUUCCUAUGAGUUAUCAUUAUGUCUUAUUUAAAAUGUACCAAUAAAUGUUUUGCUUCAAAAGAAAAAAAAAGUAGUGCUGAAACAGCCAGAACCUCCAAUAAAGUCUACCAUAUUUGCUGCUGACAACUCUUCCACAUACCACUGACCAAGAAUUUUACUUUUAUUUCAUUUUUAUUGGUAUAUAAUGAUUACAAUCAUAGUAGGGAAUUGGUAUAUGUAGAUAACAUAUUUUAAUCCUUUUUUCAUGCCCUUCUCCUUCCUUCCCUCCCACCUUUCCAUCUCUUUGUCCUCUUCCCAUUUGAAAAGAUCUCCUUACUUUUAAUACCAUAUCCUCCUGCCUCAGCUUCUAGAAUGCUAGAAUUACAGGUGUGUGCCACCACACCCAGCAGUUUGCAUGUAUUUAAAACCUGCAUAGUCUUAUAGUACAUAUUUGGGGUUCAGUAUAUAUACACGUAUGUAUGCCUGCAUUUUGUUUAAAGGAAAAGAUAAGGGGUUACAACUAAUCUAGAAAGGUCCUCUCUCUUUUGGACUUUAAGAGACCCUACAGUAUUAGUGCCAUGAGAAGCACUGCUGUCACCAAGACCAGGAGAGGUGUUCUU
rnacentral:lncRNA from 1 species